rnacentral:rRNA from 1 species
AUACGGAGGAUGCGAGCGUUAUCCGGAUUUAUUGGGUUUAAAGGGUGCGCAGGCGGCCACUUAAGUCAGCGGUUAAAUCGUGGGGCUCAACCCCAUUCUGCCGUUGAUACUGGGUGGCUUGAUUGCGGUCGAGGUUGGCGGAAUUCGUUGUGUAGCGGUGAAAUGCAUAGAUAUGACGAAGAACACCGAUUGCGUAGGCAGCUGACCAGAUCGAAAAUGACGCUCAUGCACGAAAGUGCGGGGAUCGAACAGGAUUAGAUACCCUGGUAGUCCGCACAGUAAACGAUGAAUACUUGUUUUCGGCGAUAUAAUGUCGGAGGCAAAGCGAAAGCGAUAAGUAUUCCACCUGGGGAGUACGCCGGCAACGGUGAAGCUCAAAGGAAUUGACGGGG